rnacentral:tRNA from 3 species
GCGGGCGUCGUAUAAUGGUAUUACCCCAGCCUUCCAAGCUGGAGACGUGGGUUCGAUUCCCAUCGCCCGCU